UACGUAGGCGGAAAAUUAAGUCAGUGGUGAAAUCCUGCAGCUUAACUGUAGAACUGUCAUUGAUACUGGUUUUCUUGAAUACAGUUGAGGUAGGCGGAAUGUGUAAUGUAGCGGUGAAAUGCUUAGAUACUACACAGAACACCGAUUGCGAAGGCAGCUUACUAAACUGUUAUUGACGCUGAGGUACGAAAGCGUGGGGAGCGAACAGGAUUAGAUACCCUGGUAGUC
rnacentral:rRNA from 1 species